rnacentral:rRNA from 1 species
UGGGGAAUAUUGCGCAAUGGGGGGAACCCUGACGCAGCCAUGCCGCGUGAAUGAAGAAGGCCUUCGGGUUGUAAAGUUCUUUCGGUAUUGAGGAAGGUUGAUGUGUUAAUAGCACAUCAAAUUGACGUUAAAUACAGAAGAAGCACCGGCUAACUCCGUGCCAGCAGCCGCGGUAAUACGGAGGGUGCGAGCGUUAAUCGGAAUAACUGGGCGUAAAGGGCACGCAGGCGGUUAUUUAAGUGAGGUGUGAAAGCCCUGGGUUUAACCUAGGAAUUGCAUUUCAGACUGGGUAACUAGAGUACUUUAGGGAGGGGUAGAAUUCCACGUGUAGCGGUGAAAUGCGUAGAGAUGUGGAGGAAUACCGAAGGCGAAGGCAGCCCCUUGGGAAUGUACUGACGCUCAUGUGCGAAAGCGUGGGGAGCAAACAGGAUUAGAUACCCUGGUAGUCCACGCUGUAAACGCUGUCGAUUUGGGGGUUGGGGUUUAACUCUGGCGCCCGUAGCUAACGUGAUAAAUCGACCGCCUGGGGAGUACGGCCGCAAGGUUA